CCUACGGGAGGCAGCAGUCGAGAAUCUUCCGCAAUGGGCGAAAGCCUGACGGAGCGACGCCGCGUGGAGGACGAAGGCCUUCGGGUCGUAAACUCCUGUCGAGAGGGAAGAACGACUUUCGGGUUAAUACCCCGGAGGUGUGACGGUACCUCGAGAGGAAGCCCCGGCUAACUCCGUGCCAGCAGCCGCGGU
rnacentral:rRNA from 1 species